rnacentral:rRNA from 1 species
UACGAAGGGGGCUAGCGUUGCUCGGAAUCACUGGGCGUAAAGGGUGCGUAGGCGGGUCUUUAAGUCAGGGGUGAAAUCCUGGAGCUCAACUCCAGAACUGCCUUUGAUACUGAGGAUCUUGAGUUCGGGAGAGGUGAGUGGAACUGCGAGUGUAGAGGUGAAAUUCGUAGAUAUUCGCAAGAACACCAGUGGCGAAGGCGGCUCACUGCCCGAUACUGACGCUGAGGCACGAAAGC